CCCGCUGCGGUCCCCGCGCCGGUCCGCGGAUACCAAGGACCUUGACCUCCCGCGGACCUCGUCGCCUCCUUUAGCUCUCCCUGACCUGCUUUUGAACCCGCUAAUCCUGUCCGAACUCUCGCCCCACGGCGAUCCCUCGCCGAGGCUCGGCGCGUUAAUUCCCACUGACCCCGCCGCCCCGCCGCCUCUCUCCACUCUCCAGGCUUUGAAGGGCGGCGAGGGCUUCGGCCUCCGAGUGCGGUGCGGUGCGGUGCGGUGCGGUGCACUGUGCUGCGCGGGUUAGGAUCUCCCGGCCUCGCUCCAACCCGCAUACAUGCCCUCGGACCGAAACAAGCAGUAUCGUGUCGCAAACACUCUCUCCUUUUUUUUGCUUUCUCUUGUUUCCCCUUAGUUUAAUUCGUUUCUUUAAGAAAGCUAUCAGAUCCACAGAGAUAAAAAUUUUAAGUUAACCUACUGAACUGGCGAGGCUGUGGCGAAGCGGACACUUUCGCAUGAACCUGGCAAGCAACGAGGGCGCAGAAAGGGUAAGUAGGUGUCGGACUACCGCGGAGCGAUCGCUUGGGCGCGGGCGAAGGCGGAAAAAGACAGGAGGGAGAACAGAAGGACAG
rfam:Ailuropoda melanoleuca scaffold293_76, whole genome shotgun sequence.